GCAAGUUAUGUAAUCAGAUUACUUUUUUAAGUAACUAGUAAUCAGUGUUGGGGAAAGUGACUUUUAGAAGUAAUGCAUUACAAUAUUGCUCCCUAAAAAAAGUAACUUGUUACGUUACUUACAAUUACAAUGAAAUGUAAAACAGCAGUUACUUUGUGUCCAUGUGUUGAGUGACAGCUCUGGUGUUGCCAUGGAGACAGACAUCAGGAGUCAGUGCAGAGUGUUGUGUGUGAA